rnacentral:rRNA from 1 species
UGAUGUGUAGGAUAGGUGGGAGGCUUUGAAGUGUGGACGCCAGUCUGCAUGGAGCCGGCCUUGAAAUACCACCCUUUAAUGUUUGAUGUUCUAACGUGGACCCGUGAUCCGGGUUGCGGACAGUGUCUGGUGGGUAGUUUGACUGGGGCGGUCUCCUCCUAAAGAGUAACGGAGGAGCACGAAGGUUGGCUAAUCCUGGUCGGACAUCAGGAGGUUAGUGCAAUGGCAUAAGCCAGCUUGACUGCGAGCGUGACGGCGCGAGCAGGUGCGAAAGCAGGUCAUAGUGAUCCGGUGGUUCUGAAUGGAAGGGCCAUCGCUCAACGGAUAAAAGGUACUCCGGGGAUAACAGGCUGAUACCGCCCAAGAGUUCAUAUCGACGGCGGUGUUUGGCACCUCGAUGUCGGCUCAUCACAUCCUGGGGCUGAAGUAGGUCCCAAGGGUAUGGCUGUUCGCCAUUUAAAGUGGUACGCGAGCUGGGUUUAGAACGUCGUGAGACAGUUCGGUCCCUAUCUGCCGUGGGCGCUGGAGAACUGAGGGGGGCUGCUCCUAGUACGAGAGGACCGGAGUGGACGCAUCACUGGUGUUCGGGUUGUCAUGCCAAUGGCACUGCCCGGUAGCUAAAUGCGGAAGAGAUAAGUGCUGAAAGCAUCUAAGCACGAAACUUGCCCCGAGAUG